UUACCUCUUCCUAUUAUAGCAACCAUCAUUAUCAUCUUCAUCAGAUUCAAGCCUUCGUUAUUGUCGUCGAAUAAGAAAGCUAUCCUCAUACCAGCACAUGAACUGUUUCUUCUCCUUUUUCAUUUCACUUUUAUGAAGUAAACCUAGAUUCAAAGCUUUUCUUCCCCUUCAAAAUCUUUAACCCGAUCUGGAUUGUUUAGAUAAACACAAAAACACAAUCUCUAGGACUCAAGUUAGCAGUACAGAGAGAGGGCAGUGCUAUUAUGAUUUCUUAGACUCCCUAAAAUUAAAUCUCCACUGAAAACCCUAGAUUUGGUCAUGAACAGAUUGAAAACUUCAUCUUCUUCUCGUUGAAUGAUUUUUUAUCUACCAUUUCAUCUUCUUCGUUGUGGAUUCCGCGAAUCAACAUCACAUGAAUAUCAGUUCUAAUGGGUUUAAGAGAUUGGGUUUUCCCCAAUUUUGAGUCCACAGUUAGGGUUACAGGGCUGCGAAGAUGAUGGAGUUGAUAUGGAGUUAUAGGAACAGGAAUUUGUGGUAUCUGAUGAUGAUGUAUGAAGUUGUUUAUGGUCCUGCUUGAUGCUGAUGGGAAAAUGGCAUAACAUAUUUCCAAUUUUUUAUGAGCAUCCUACAAACAUAAUUGGACUAAUUUUGGUAAUCUCUAACCUUUCUAAAUGUUCUAACGAUUGCAUCUUUUUAAGUUAUAGAGAUUUUGUUAAAUCUGGUGUUUGUUUUUGAUGGGUUGAGUGUGUUAGAGGUGAUUAGUUUGACAUUUCAAUAUGAUAUUUGAUGGGUUUUUGUUUUUAGAGAAGUGGGUUUUUAAUGCAUUUGCUAAUAUGAUUUUUCCUGAUGGAUUAAUUGAAAUUUUAGGGAAAAAUAUGUGUCUAUCUAGUGUGGAUUUUAGGUUGAAAUUUUGGGUUUGAUUUUAAUGGGAUUCUAAAAAUUGGUAUUCAUUGAUAAUUCUAUAUCAUGCUUUGAUUCAAUAUCUGUGAUUUCUGUUUUAGACUACUGCUAGUGUUUAAUUGAGAUUUUGUCAGUGGAUAUUUGAUUGGUUAGUUGAUUUGCUUGUAGAGACAAGGCUGUGGUGGUUAUAUGGAUCGGACAACGAUUGUUUGAUUGAAUGUUUUAUGAAUUUCGCGAAGGUAUUUGUAUUGUUCAUACAGGAUAACAAUAUUGAAUUCUGGAGAAAUUUUUGGCCGAGUACUUAUCUUCUCGUGCUAAGAAGAGGUGGUGCGUUUCUAUGUAUGGAAGUGGCCGACAAAUAACUGGAGUUUUUUCUCAUGUAUGCUCUAGAGACUCUUUUGCAUACUUGUUGUGCAAAGCAUUUUUGUCAUGGUCUACUCUUAGUUUUAACAAAAUAAAGUGAUAUUAGUAGUAGGUUAUUCGAUUUUUAGCCAAAUAAGGUUGACUUGCUGAUGACCUUUUUCCCCUGUACCCCAUGUUAAAAAGUUUUGGUUCAAGCUUAUUCCUGCUUUUCUCAUGUUUAAGGGUGCUCGGACUUUUAUAUCUUGGUCUCGAGCUUCUCUUAAAUACAUCAUUUUGGCACUCUCUGGAAAUAUGGAUGAUGUACUAGCUGCAUAUAAGGCUGAUAUCUGGGAUGAAUCAGCAUACGGUGAAUAUUUCCUCGCAGUUUCACCGGUUAGAAAGAUGGGCAUGAGAAGAUGUCUAAAAGCGAUGUUUCAUCCGCCAUCCUUAUCGAAUAUGAUGAGGAAGUUGAUUUUCCGAGUAUCUCCUUGCAAAGGAUUGCAUUAUCAUUUAGUCCACUAACGAAUUGCAGAAACGGAGUUUGAAGCUGCUCUGGUUGCGGCUUUCAGGAGGGAAAAGGAGGAUCAAAUAGAAAUGCAGUUACUGGCUGCUGAAAUUCAGGCAGCAAUGCAAUUGGCCAAACGAAGGGAAGAUGAAAUUAAAAAUCUGAAAAAUGCUGCUUUGAUUUCGCGAGGCCAGAAUCAAAAGGUUGGAGGAAGUUGCAUCUGGGAAGAUCUCAACUGAGGUGCAUCUCUUACAGGAAAAAAAGGAAUAUCUGAAAGAGGUGGAAUUACAGUCCUUGGAGUGAAGCUCCAUAUAAGGAUUUGCAGAGAAGACUGCAUUAGGAGGGUUAUCCUUUGAUGGAUUCUUGGCACCGAUACCAAGGAGACAUUGCCUCUGUCCUGCGCAUAACCAGACGAAGAAGGUUAGAUCGCAAGAAGCAACAAUCAGAUAUAAAUGUUUUCUAGUGCUUCAUCUUUGGACUUAAAGGUGCUGGGAGGUCAUCAUUGUUGAACUAUUUUCUUGGAAGUUACCAGUGUUGGAGACAUUGCGUUGUAGGAAGCUGGUCCAUGCUAGAGGUUGUUAAUCAUAUGCCAGAAAUUUUCGUUUCAAAUGUAGCCUAGUGUAUGUUUCUGAACCCGGG